AGUCUUUACAAAGAUGUGAUGUUGGAGAACUACAGAAACCUCAUUGCUGUAGGCUACAAUUGGGAAGAACAUAAUAUUGAAGAACAUUGUAAAAGUUCCAGAAGACAUGGAAGGCAUAAAAGAAGUCUUACUGGAGAGAAACCCUAUGAAGGCAUUCAGUACUGUGAAACCUUUCUACAUCACAGUAGUCUCCAAAUGCAGAAAAUAACGAGAGAAAUGCUACAAAUGCAGUCAAUGUGGUAAAGCCUUUGCAGGACACCAUACUCUCCAAAUACAUGAAAGAACACAUAGUGGAGCGAAAGCCUAUGAAUGUAAGCAAUGUAGUAAAUCCUUUGCCUCUCACAAUCAAUUUCAAAAACAUGAAGGAAUUCAUACUGGAGAGAAACCUUAUAAAUGUGAUCAAUGUGGUAAAGCCUUUGCACAACACAGUCAUCUUAAAAAGCAUAAAGUAACACAUACUGGAGAGAAACCUUACAAAUGUAAUCAGUGUGGUAAAAGCUUUGUUUAUUCUAAAUCUUUACGAGUACAUAAAAGAACACAUACUGGAGAGAAGCCCUAUGAAUGUAAUCAAUGUGGCAAAGCCUUUGCAUAUCAAAGUUCUUUCCAAGUACAUAAAAGAAUACAUACGGGAGAGAAACCUUAUAAAUGUAAUGAAUGUGGUAAAGCCUUUGCCCGAAACAGUGAACUCCGAAC
rnacentral:lncRNA from 1 species